UAUUUUGAUUUUAAACUCACGUCAGAGUGGCGCGGUAUAUAGCGUGCGCUUGUGCAACGCGGUAUAUAGCUUAAGUUAUUACGAAAUUAGAGAUCUCUCAAUUGGUUGAUCCAUUGCCCUGUUCCUGAGCGGUGACGUAGUGACACGAACGCUACACAAACAAAGAACCGCUCUCGGUGGAAAACAUAUAACCAGCUGUUGUCUGAUCGCAGUGCGUAGUUGCUUCCUUUUAUUCCUGCAGGUCGCUAUCAUGACGAAACCGUGCACAGCAACUGCAAUACAUGUACUGGUGGUGCUCCUGACUCUAGCUUACCUUCCAAACCUAGAAUCCCUUGAAGUACACCCAAAAGAAAGAACAAAACGAGAUACUGCGGUAAGCGGAACUUCGUCCGAUUGCCCAACCAAUACCCUGCAGCCAGGCAGCAUGAUGUGCGCUUUGUACUUGGACACUAGGACAUGCGCCGACCUGGAUUGCCAGAGUCAGGACAAGAUCUGCUGCCGCGGCAGUUGCAACCACCUGCAGUGCGUUGGGCGUCCAUAGAAGACAGAGAGACAAUAUAUAGUACAUGAACCUUACUUGCAGCUCUGACAGUAAAGGUCAAAGUACAUGUAUAUUUG